GUUAGGGAUCUCGUCUCAUCCCUCAUCUCUGGCCACCGCUGGACUCCAGGGCAAAUCUUUACGACCAACUGCUGUCAUGCAGGGUCAAGCUUCACUACCUGGACAGGUUUCCCAUGUGGUUCAUCCACCAGAAACGCUGGCUGCUGUGGAACAGUUUACAUCAGAAUGAGACCCAUUGCCAUCCUGCAUGGAACCAUCACCCGCAAAGCUCCAUUCUUCUACACCUGUAGGAACCCAGCCGCCCAUUGGGACGUCUCCUGCCAGGGACCAGAAGAGCUCAAUGACAGCAUGGCUGUCACAGCAAAGCCCAAGCAGUGCUGAGACCUGGCCUGUUCUUUUCUCCUUCUGGGUCAAUAAAGACCCUUGGUCCUUUCCUGGGCUCCGACCAAUUCGUACCAUUGUCCUCUGCUGCAGUCCCGCUCCGCUGCCAUCUAUAAACGCUAUUAAUUAUGAUGCACAUCAUAUGAAGACAUUUAUUCUGACGGCAGGAGAGCUCACAGAAUGCGAAAGAUCUAUAUCUGCACCAGACUGAAGGACAAAGGGUACAAGGUAGAAUCUGAUGACAUGAUACAGAUUACAGAGAGACAAAACAUAAAAUUGACAGCCCUCCAAUCUGACGGUACAUCGAUUUAGACGCCGUUCUUCUGAGACGUUAUCUACUGUUCUGUCCUUCCAGCAGCGCUGUGCUCAUGAUGCUUUCCUCCAAAGUGACGUACAAUCGCCGUGAUGCCCGGCAAACCAACACAACAGAUUCAUGCCACCAUCACUG